UACGAGGGGUGCAAGCGUUGCUCGGAAUUAUUGGGCGUAAAGGGUAGGUAGGUGGUCUCGUUUGUCAGGGGUGAAAGCCUUGGGCUUAACCCAAGAAGUGCCCCUGAAACGGCGAGACUUGAGUCUUGGAGAGGGUCGUGGAAUUCCCGGUGUAGCGGUGAAAUGCGCAGAUAUCGGGAGGAACACCGGAGGCGAAGGCGGUCGCCUGGG
rnacentral:rRNA from 1 species